GACGAACGCUGGCGGCGUGCCUAACACAUGCAAGUCGAACGGAGAAUUUUAUUUCGGUAGAAUUCUUAGUGGCGAACGGGUGAGUAACGCGUAGGCAACCUACCCUUUAGACGGGGACAACAUUCCGAAAGGAGUGCUAAUACCGGAUGUGAUCAUCUUGCCGCAUGGCAGGAUGAAGAAAGAUGGCCUCUACAAGUAAGCUAUCGCUAAAGGAUGGGCCUGCGUCUGAUUAGCUAGUUGGUAGUGUAACGGACUACCAAGGCGAUGAUCAGUAGCCGGUCUGAGAGGAUGAACGGCCACAUUGGGACUGAGACACGGCCCAAACUCCUACGGGAGGCAGCAGUGGGGAAUCUUCCGCAAUGGACGAAAGUCUGACGGAGCAACGCCGCGUGAGUGAUGAAGGAUUUCGGUCUGUAAAGCUCUGUUGUUUAUGACGAACGUGCAGUGUGUGAACAAUGCAUUGCAAUGACG
rnacentral:rRNA from 1 species